rnacentral:rRNA from 1 species
GGCGUAAAGAGCUCGUAGGCGGUUUGUCGCGUCUGCCGUGAAAGUCCGGGGCUUAACCCCGGAUCUGCGGUGGGUACGGGCAGACUAGAGUGCAGUAGGGGAGACUGGAAUUCCUGGUGUAGCGGUGAAAUGCGCAGAUAUCAGGAGGAACACCGAUGGCGAAGGCAGGUCUCUGGGCUGUAACUGACGCUGAGGAGCGAAAGCAUGGGGAGCGAACAGGAUUAGAUACCCUGGUAGUCCAUGCCGUAAACGUUGGGCACUAGGUGUGGGGGACAUUCCACGUUUUCCGCGCCGUAGCUAACGCAUUAAGUGCCCCGCCUGGGGAGUACGGCCGCAAGGCUAAAACUCAAAGGAAUUGACGGGGGCCCGCACAAGCGGCGGAGCAUGCGGAUUAAUUCGAUGCAACGCGAAGAACCUUACCAAGGCUUGACAUGUUCCUGACCGCCGUAGAGAUACGGUUUCCCCUUUGGGGCAGGUUCACAGGUGGUGCAUGGUUGUCGUCAGCUCGUGUCGUGAGAUGUUGGGUUAAGUCCCGCAACGAGCGCAACCCUCGUUCCAUGUUGCCAGCACGUAGUGGUGGGGACUCAUGGGAGACUGCCGGGGUCAACUCGGAGGAAGGUGGGGACGACGUCAAAUCAUCAUGCCCCUUAUGUCUUGGGCUUCACGCAUGCUACAAUGGCCGGUACAAUGGGUUGCGAUACUGUGAGGUGGAGCUAAUCCCAAAAAGCCGGUCUCAGUUCGGAUUGGGGUCUGCAACUCGACCCCAUGAAGUCGGAGUCGCUAGUAAUCGCAGAUCAGCAACGCUGCGGUGAAUACGUUCCCGGGCCUUGUACACACCGCCCGUCAAGUCACGAAAGUUGGUAACACCCGAAGCCGGUGGCCUAACCCUUG